GCUUAACCGGAGAAGUGCAUCGGAAACUGGGAGACUUGAGUGCAGAAGAGGGCAGUGGAACUCCAUGUGUAGCGGUGGAAUGCGUAGAUAUAUGGAAGAACACCAGUGGCGAAGGCGGCUGUCUAGUCUGUAACUGACGCUGAGGCUCGAAAGCAUGGGUAGCGAACAGGAUUAGAUACCCUGGUAGUCCAUGCCGUAAACGAUGAGUGCUAAGUGUUGGAGGGUUUCCGCCCUUCAGUGCUGCAGCUAACGCAUUAAGCACUCCGCCUGGGGAGUACGACCGCAAGGUUGAAACUCAAAGGAAUUGACGGGGGCCCGCACAAGCGGUGGAGCAUGUGGUUUAAUUCGAAGCUACGCGAAGAACCUUACCAGGUCUUGACAUCUUCUGCCAAUCUUAGAGAUAAGACGUUCCCUUCGGGGACAGAAUGACAGGUGGUGCAUGGUUGUCGUCAGCUCGUGUCGUGAGAUGUUGGGUUAAGUCCCGCAACGAGCGCAACCCUUAUUAUCAGUUGCCAGCAUUCAGUUGGGCACUCUGGUGAGACUGCCGGUGACAAACCGGAGGAAGGUGGGGAUGACGUCAAAUCAUCAUGCCCCUUAUGACCUGGCUACACACGUGCUACAAUGGACGGUACAACG
rnacentral:rRNA from 1 species